GAUGAAGAACGUAGCGAAAUGCGAUAAGUAAUGUGAAUUGCAGAAUUCCGUGAAUCAUCGAAUCUUUGAACGCAUAUUGCGCCCUCUGGUAUUCCGGAGGGCAUGCCUGUCCGAGCGUCAUUGCUGCCCUCAAGCACGGCUUGUGUGUUGGGCCUCCGUCCUCCUCCCGGGGGACGGGCCCGAAAGGCAGCGGCGGCACCGCGUCCGGUCCUCGAGCGUAUGGGGCUUCGUCACCCGCUCUUGUAGGCCCGGCCGGCGCUUGCCGACACAUCAAUCUUUUUUCCAGGUUGACCUCGGAUCAGGUAGGGAUACCCGCUGAACUUAAGCAUAUCAAUAAGCGGAGGA
rnacentral:misc_RNA from 1 species